rnacentral:rRNA from 1 species
AAUGCAUAGGAAACUGCGCAGUAGUGGGGGAUAGCCCGGGGAAACCCGGAUUAAUAUCGCAUACGCCCUUUGGGGGAAAGAGGGGAUCUUCGGACUUGCGCUAUUGGAUGUGCUAUGUGGAUUAGUAGUUGGUGGGGUAAGAGCUACAAGGGAGAUCGUAGUGGUUGAAGGAUGAUAGUAAUGGGAUGAAUGGGUCGAAUCUAUGGAGGAGUAGUGGGGAAUAUUGGAAAUGGGGGAACCUGAUUAGCAUGCCGGUGUGUGAAGAAGGUUUCGGGUUGUAAAGAUUUAGUGAGGAGGAAAACUUAAGUUUAAUACGGUUGAGGCUUGAUGUUACUCAAGAAGAAGCACGGCUAAUGCGUGGAGAGUGGGGUAAUAGGGAGGGUGGAGCGUUAAUCGGAAUUAUGGGGUAAAGGCGCGUAGUGGUUGAUAAGCGAGAUGUGAAGCCCGGGUUAACUGGGAAGGAUUUCAAGUGUAGUAAGAUGUAAGGAGUGUGGAAUUUCUG